GGUCAGUUAAAUAUGGUGGUGGCCAUGGGCAGAGAUGCUGUCCCUGCCUGGGUAUCCAAACCCCACAUAUAGUCGUUGAUGUUAACUUGUGAGAGGAUGCAUUUAGGAUAUCAACUAUUUCCACAAGUGAUCUAUCUAAAGACUAAAGUAGGCCACGGAAAUUGCCGUGUUGAAUAAGACCAAAAAAAUGAAAUCUCUGCCCAUAUAACCACACUGUCCAAAACAAGUCACAGGGUUCGAAUGGAAACUAAGUAUACUUUGUGUUCUGGCACGAAACUUCACGGGGGAAAAACAAGCCUGGACUAAAACCACUACAGUAGAAAGCAGCUGAGCUUCUGUAAACGUGCCUCCCUACCUGCUGUCCCAGCUCUCCAAGGAAGGCACCGACUUUGAGAAAGGGACAGGUGGAUCCAGCCCAGGAAGAAGAGCUACAGAAGCAAGGCUUUGCAGUGAGGCAACACAUUCACCUAUGAGCACACUCCCCAGGUUCCAUACAGCACUGGAGAGCCGUCCACGUGCCCAGGAAUUGGGUACUCGGGUCUGUUAAACAGUGACAAAUACUUGUUAAUAUUUAGCUCCUGUGGAAUGAGCUCACAGCCUUAUUCUGGCCUGUAGUGGACUCCUGACAUCACAGAAACCUAACGGGAGGAAUGGAGACUCAAGCCUGGAGGAAGUAACUCUCUCAACGAAUAAAUGUACUGAAUUCUGACUAUGUCCCAAACACUGUGUCAACCAUGAGGGGCACAGAUGGGGAAGAAAAUCAGAAAGAGUCCCUGUUUCUACAGAGUUUUCCAGAUAGAGGGCACAGAUGUGAAACAAAAUAAUCAUAGGGAUAAAGAAACUGUGGUGGCAGUGAGUGGGUCCUGGGAGUGCACAGCAGUGAGAACAGCAGUAAGAGAUCUUGGCUGAACAAGUGUGUGUAUAUGGAGGACACUCCUAUGAUCUGGGUAUUUAUAGCUCAGAGAUCACCAACCCGUUGGAAUAAAUUUGGAAGAACUCCUUUGCUACAAAUAAAUUCACUCUAUUAAGCAUCUAUCACCUCAUGAUUCUUCACGGAGCCCACAAACCAUGCAUAAAACAUAGGAGGGUAAAAAGUAUGAAAAGAAUCCAACCAAACAACGGAGACCCAGAAUGAAAAUGCUCACUGGAUUUUUAGGGAACACAAAGAAAAUCUGUUGAAUUAUAUUAAUAUGCCAUUGAUAGAACUGA